AUUGAACGCUGGCGGAAUGCUUUACACAUGCAAGUCGAACGGCAGCACGGACUUCGGUCUGGUGGCGAGUGGCGAACGGGUGAGUAAUGUAUCGGAACGUGCCCAGUCGUGGGGGAUAACGUAGUGAAAAUUACGCUAAUACCGCAUACGAUCUAUGGAUGAAAGCGGGGGAUCGCAAGACCUCGCGCGAUUGGAGCGGCCGAUAUCAGAUUAGGUAGUUGGUGGGGUAAAGGCCCACCAAGCCAACGAUCUGUAGCUGGGCUGAGAGGACGACCCGCCACACUGGAACUGAGCCACGGUCCAGACUCCUACGGGAGGCAGCAGUGGGGAAUUUUGGACAAUGGGCGAAAGCCUGAUCCAGCCAUUCCGCGUGCAGGAUGAAGGCCCUCGGGUUGUAAACUGCUUUUCUACAGAACGAAAAGGUUUCUACUAAUACUAGGAGCUCAUGACGGUACUGUGAGAAUAAGCACCGGCUAAUUACGUGCCAGCAGCCGCCGUAA
rnacentral:rRNA from 1 species